GGUCUUAAUGCAGUCGAGCGAGGCGGGUAGCAAUACCCAGUCGAGCGGCGAACGGGUGAGUAACGCGUGGAUUAUCUACCCUGAGGUGGGGGAUAACCCGGCGAAAGCCGGGCUAAUACCGCAUAACAUCGAAAGAUCAAAGGGGGAGCAAUCUCCCGCCAUUGGAGGAGUCCGCGUCCGAUUAGCUAGUUGGUAGGGUAAUGGCCUACCAAGGCGACGAUCGGUAGCCGGCCUGAGAGGGUGAUCGGCCACACUGGAACUGAGACACGGUCCAGACUCCUACGGGAGGCAGCAGUGGGGAAUUUUGCGCAAUGGGCGAAAGCCUGACGCAGCAACGCCGCGUGGAGGAUGACGGUCCUUGGAUCGUAAACUCCUGUCAGCAGGGAAAAAGGGGACCGGGCUCAUACCCCGGUUCAUUGAUUGUACCUGCAGAGGAAGCCCCGGCUAACUCUGUGCCAGCAGCCGCGGUAAUACAGAGGGGGCAAGCGUUAUUCGGAAUUAUUGGGCGUAAAGGGCGCGUAGGCGGCUUGACAAGUGGAAAGGUGAAAUCCCUCGGCUUAACCGAGGAACUGCCCUCCAAACUGUUUUGCUUGAGCCGGGAGAGG
rnacentral:rRNA from 1 species